AGGACCGCAGUGUGAUACACAGCCUGUAAAGUGUCAAAUGCUGCUGGGAUGCUAAAGAUGAAGAAAUUCAGACUUGUAGACCAGAAACGUUUCUUCUUUGUGAAGAAUCCUCCCAAGGUUAAUUACAUAGAACUGGAAAGAAGAAUUCAGUUUCCAAUUCAUCAUGAAGAUAGAUGAGAUCUUGAAGGAGCCUACAAUUCCAAGAUUGGAGCAUCAGGAAGCAAUUUGUCAUAACUGAAGAAACAAGGGCUGUAGAAACAAAUCUGGGCUCUAGUCACUCUUCCACAAUUGAUUUUCAUGAGACUUGGAACGGACUAUUCUAAGACAUAGUUUAUCGAAGGACCCACUAAAGAAAAGUUCUAUA